UUUAUAUCCCACGUUAGGGUUUAAAUAGAGAGCCAGUGUGGUGUAGUGGAUAAGAGUGGUAGUCUCGUAAUCUGGGGAACCGGGUUAGCGUCUCCGCUCCUCCACAUGCAGCUGCUGGGUGACCUUGGGCUAGUCACACUUCUCUGAAGUCUCUCAGCCCCACUCACCUCACAGAGCGUUUGUUGUGAGGGAGGAAGGAAAAGGAGAAUGUUAGCCACUUUGAGACUCUUUAAGGGGAGUGAAAGGCGGGAUAUCAAAUCCAAAUCCAAACUCUUCUUCUUCUUCUUCUUCUUCUUCUUCUUCUUCUAAAUAAAGGCCAUAUAGGUGACCUGCAUUAAACAAUAAAGAUAAAAAUAACAUUAGGAACAACAAGCAAGCAUCUCUUCUAUCAAAGCAUAAAAAAAGAAGAAAUAACAGUAAGGUGUUAACAAAAACCGUAAAAUCAUAAUGAAAAGUGGACAAAUCGAACUUCUGCUACUCCCAAGAUUCCCCCCCCCAAAUAAAAAGACUUUGACCACCUUAAGCCACAGCUGAAGAAACCUCCUUGAGCACGAGUCUCCUUUCUGAAGGCUGAGAUGUUCAGAGCACUUCCUCAUAAGAUGGCGUGAGUACAUGGGAAGGGAAGUAUUGAAGGGGGAAAGGCAAGGACAUGAAUGGGAGCCAAGUUGUUGCAUAUGAAUUCCUCUCAGCCCCAGCCAGCAUGGCCAAUGAUGAGAGAUAAUGGGAGUAGUAGUCUGGGAGAAUCAAAGGUUGCCCACCUGAUUUAGAAAUUUGACGGUCAACACCAGAGCAAUUGGCAUUGGGCUAAGAAACCAACUGGAUGGCAGAGGAUCUCCUUCAGACUUGAUGUUCCAGGCUUCCUGCAGCCAAUCCUGGUUAAUAAUUAGGCAUCUUCUGCAUUCUGGAUGCUCUUCAGAGAUGGCUUCAUGUAGAACACUUCCAGCAGGAAGAAACCAAAGGAUGCAUGACAGUGACCAGAUCAUUCUCCUUCAGGAGAGGGCACUGAUGAUCACUCAACUGAAGGCAGUGAAAGGCAUCUCUACCAACAGAUGCUUGUUGACGUGCCAUGAUCAGAGCAGAGGUCAAGAGUAACCCCCAAACAGAGAACAGCUUGCAGAAAGUUUGGUCUCCAUCCCAUCUCCCUUGCCAUUUCCUAAUGAACAUAUAUGGGACAGCAGUGUGAUUUUUCAUUUGGUAAUCCAUUUUCAUUUUCCCCCAGUCUGCAUUUCAUGCAUGCCUCAUAUUUUAGGUUUUACCUGGCUUUAAAAUAAAUUCCUUGUAAGUUCUCUGGCAAAUGAAAUUACCGGCUGGAAAACUGCAUUUUCAUCUUGAGAGUUUUAGUAUGCUAAUAAAUGUCAGGAUUCUCAAAUAAAGGAAUUGCUUUUUUUUCCAGAGUCCCAAAGAAUUAAUGAAAAACAGUCAGCCAACUCAUAGAGUACCAGAAAGGAAAACCUUGACAAUAUAUAACCAGAAACAGCAGCCGUAUAAUAAAGUGGAACUUAACCGAAGAUAAAUUUCAAAGGAAACAAAAAGAGAUCAUAGCAGGGAAGAAUUUAAAACAGCAGAAGCCUUACUUGGAAAAGAUGUAGCGCCACUGCUAAUACUCUGGGGGUGGGUUGGGGAGCAAAUUAGAAGGGGGUGCAUUUUACUAAGAUUAUAUGUGUGUAUUGUUGAAUCUGAGAAAACAAACAAGCCCUUAAAAGCUAAACAGUGUGUAGGAGGUAAACAGGGAGGAAAAUGAUUUUGCAAAGUUUUACCUGAGUUUACCAGAGACUUUGUGAUAUGUCUCUCUGUGAUAUAUACACACACACAGAAAUGCACACAGUGCUUUUUGUGAUGGUACUCACCUGUGCGGAAUCUUUCUUUCUUUCUUUCUUUCUUUCUUUCUUUCUUUCUUUCUUUCUUUCUUUCUUUCUUUCUUUCUUUCUUUUACUGCCAUUGGCAGCCAUUUUGUAUUGGCGCCCACAGCACUUUUAUCAAUAAUUACUCUGCUUGAGAACCUUACAGCUUACGGCUUCUGGAGGAGGACAUAGCUGAAAGCAGUCCUGACCAGGAGGGCAAAGAUACAAAGCAACAUUUUGUCGCCAGUCCCAGUUGUAUACUCUACUAGCAACCUUUAUCCCCAACCAGGAAGAAAGCCACUUCCCCACCACUCUUUAUCAUAUUGGUGAGUAUAACUGCUAGUUCUGCUUUCUGUCUGGGGUGGAAGGCUUUUGAAGAUUACAUGGGAAAGUUACCCAGUUGCCCUAGUGUGGUUGCACUCCAUGGAUUUGCUUUGUGCUGUUCGCCUCAAAUUUCAAUAGAACCUCAAUGGGUCAUAGAUGUCAGAAGUUUAGUUUUUCAAACACAGAAGUUAGAGUUCAUCACCAGGGCCCUGAAAGAAUCAGCUGCAGUUCAGGAGGGAUCCUUGCAUAAAUUCCACGCCCUUGCAUUGAAUUAUGUGCCUACCUGUUCAUUGUUGUUUCAUUUCCUUCGUUGUUUGGGUUUACAAUAUUACGGCAAUGGCCAACACAUCCAUGUUCAUAAUUUACUACCCCAGCUAUAGUUAACACUGCAUUCAAGGGGCUUUGCAUUCUGUGGAUUUCCAUUAGGCACCUCCCUGCCAAAAGAUCUUGUCACUGAGAUCUCUGGGAAUUUAUUACUAGACACUUUAUGUAGUUUUAUUUUUACAGGAAAACAGACCCCAGUCAUAAAGGGAAAUUUGUUAAUUCUUAUAGGCACGGACCAUCCACUUCCAAUUUUAUGUGUGUAAUAGGAAGCUCGCAAAUAUAAAAACCAGGGUUGCACCACUGACAUGUACGCUAUUGUGAUGUGUUUUCAAUAUUUUGUUGGGAGCCACUCAGAGUGGAUGGAGGCAACCCAUUGAGAUGGGCAACAUAUAAAAAGAAGAAGAGGAAGAGGAAGAGGAAGAGGAAGAGGAGGAGGAGGAAGAGGAAGAGGAAGAGGAAGAGGAGGAGGAGGAGGAGGAGGAGGAGGAGGAGGAGGAGGAGAAAUUGUUGUUGUUUACUAGGGUUACAGCAGAUGAUGGUUAGCAGCUCAUCCAUGUUUAUGGCAUCUUUUGUAUCUGUGGGGCAAUACCUACUUGGGCAAGGGAGUGAGAAGAAGCUCUGCACUUAUGUAAAUCUUUUUUGGGGUGUCUCUGUGUGUGGAUGAUUAAUAGCUAUUCAGCUUCAUCAGCUAACCAGCCUAUAUAAAAGUCAGUUCUGGCAUCUUAUUUCCCGUACCUCCCACAGGCCAAAUUUGACAGAUGGGUGGGGCUGCUCACCUGUCAAUCCUUAACAUUACAAUGACAUCACCUAGUUGUUGGACUUCAAAACACAGUGCAAGGCUCUUUGUAAGCCGGCAUGACACUUUAAAGUCCUGCCAACCAGCUGAUCGCCAGAACUUCAGAAGCAUCGUACACGGGGCUCUUGAAGAUUGGCAGCACUCCAAAAGCUCCUUUUGGCCCGGCCCAGCUGCCUUUUUAUCUGCCCACAUAUUGGCAGGUAGGCCUGGCUUGGACAAAAUGGCAUAGUGGUCCAAAUGGGGGGGCCUGGCAAUGAGGUCUACAGGCCAGAGGUUCCUUACUCUGAUCUAGUACAACCCAGAAUCAGAACUGAGAGCAGAGCUAGUUAGAAAGGCAGACCCUCCAAGUGUCCUUAUCUUCCAAGAACAGUCCUGGAUUUACAGAAGUCAUCCCAGUUUCUGAUUUGAUUCUGGAAUGUCCCGUUUUUCCUUAGGACAUUCUUAUUUUCAUCAGAGAAAUUUUUGGAGGGUAUGGAAAGGAGCCAGCUCAAUUCUCAGUGUCUUUCACUGAGUUCCACAGACAGAGACUCACGUGGUGGGUCAUUGGAAAGUUUUAGAUAAGCAGCCUUUGAUCCACCCCAUUUUAAAUGAAUUAAUGAAAGAUUGAUUGAUACAUUGAAUGAAUAAGAAAACAACACACUAGAGCAGGGGUAGCCAAUGUGGUGCUCUCCAAAUAUUAUGGACUACAACUCUCAUAAUCCCUCACUUUCGGCUGUGCUGAAUGGGGCAGAUGGGAGUUGAAGUCCAACAUCUCAAGCACUCCACAGCGGCGACCUCUGCAUUAGGACUUGCGUGAUGGCAGCCUGGUUGACAGGAAAAUAACAGCCUCCAUGUGGACAAACACCACAUGGACAAAGUCCACGUCCCAGAUUAGAACUGGGAAACGGAGACAAUAGAACUGGGAAACAGAUACAAUAGAUCCACAACAGAAAAGCCAUGGAGCCAAAGAAAAAAGAUAAAAGGAUGCAUUCACAAUUGAUGUAAAUUCGCUUACACUUCCUUAACUUAUAGCUGAAAUUACCUCAGCUUGAAUCAAGUGAGUGUCUAUAGAUAAUGGUUUCUGUUAUACAAACACAGGCCUUUAUAGAGUAAUACAUUCUAAUGGAAUCCCUAUAUAUCAUUGUGGCUUUAAGUCUCACCUAAUAAAUCCUUCUCUCCUAAGAUUUUAUAUUCUGUUGCAUCACAGCUUUGUGUUAAGGUGAAAAGUGCCUCUCUUUAAUUUUCAAAGAAUGAUCUCUUCCUUCCUCUUAUUUUUUUUAUAGGAAUGUAUUCAUUGAUAUCAUUUAUUGGCUGGUACCUGUUGUUCCCAGGCCUGCAGAAGCUUGACAUUCUUUUGUCCCAUGUACACACUAUACCUUUGAACCACAUCCCUCCCUCCAAAGAUUUCUGGGCACUGUAGUUUAUCCCUCACAGAUUUAGAACUCCCAGCAAGCCUUAACAAACUACAGUACCCAGAAUUCUUUGAGGGGGGAAAGUAUUAGGAAAAUUUAUAUCCCAUAUGGUCUCAGAAUGGGUUACACACUCAGUUAAAAUAAUAAAAUGACAAAAUACAAACAACAUAUCCAAUUCAAAUUAAAUAAACCAGCAUUGUUAGGCAAAGGCCUGGAUAAAAAUAAUGGUUAUCACCCACUGUUGGAACCCACCUGGUGUCUGUGAUUAUCUAAUCUCAGGGAACAACACAUUCCAGAGCUGUGGUGUUGCUAUCAAGAAGACCCUACAUAGGACUUUUUCUGUGUGAGACUUAAGCUGCCCUUGAGCUUCUCGUAUGCUAUUUAAAUGGGUGUAGGUAAAAAAAGGUAAAGGUAAAGGACCCUUGGACAGUUAAGUCCAAUCAAAGGUGACUAUGGGGUGUGGUGCUCAUCUCAGUUCAGGCUGAGGGAGCUGGUGUUUGUCCACAGAGAACUUUCCAGGUCAUGUGGCUAGCAUGACUAAACCACUUCUUGCACAACACGACACUGUGAUGAGUGUCAGAGCGCAUGGAGAUGCUGUUUACCUUCCUGCUGCAGCGGUACCUAUUUAUCUACAUGCACUGGUAUGCUUUCAAACUGCUAGAUUGGCAGAAGCUGGGACAAAGCAAUGAGAGCUCACCCAGUUGCGUGAAUUCGAACUGCCAACCUUCUGAUCGGGAAGCCCAAGAUGCUCGGUGGUUUGGACCACAGUGACUAACUAAAUGGGUGUGGGUUGCAGUGAUGCCAACAAGAGUUUCAGAAUUUCAGCCCAGAGUGGGGAAUCAAGUCAUCGAUUUAACAGAUGUCCAGUGAGGUUUAAGCAUGGAUGCCAUUACCAAGCCCUGUGGAAAACUGCAAAGGGACCAUCUGCUAUAGUUCAAGAGACCCCCUUGCAUCAUUAAGCCAGAGUAGGCUAUGUGAUUUCCCUGACCCCGGUGAAAACUUCCAAGACAUGCUUCCUCAAUGGUUUGAGAUCUGGUAAUAAGAACUGUACAUGUAUAGGUUCUGUACAUGUAACCCCACUUUUUGGGGUUCCUUAUGGUGUAGUCUAGUUGUACCAUUUGCACAAACACACACAGAGGAAUAGGAACAAGACAGGAGCACAAGUCUGUUUCCAUCACAUUGUAAUAUAUGGCAGAUCCUUAUAAAAGGCCAUGAUUCCUGGAGCAUGUUCUUUUCUUGUUGGUCACUGUACUCGCUGAGAAACUUUAAUUGGUGGUGUGUGUGAUCACUCACACACAUUUGCAGUAUGCAAAAUUAAUUUCUCCCUGGGGUUCCCAGUAAUAAUAUCAGUUGACAGAGUAUGACUAGACAAACUACAUUAUUGGUUUGCAGAUGAAACAUAAUAAUAAAUUAGUAUCUGUGUACUCGUACACAUUAGACUAUGUUUGGAGGUCAUGACUGCUUUGAAAUGCCUGGUGUGUGUGUGUGUGUGUGUGUGUGUGUGUGUGUAAUUGCCAAACAUAGACCAUCAACCACACAUUGUAUAGUCUGUGCUUCUUUUUUCCUUUCUUUUUCUUGCAGAUCCAGGAAGGCAGAAGAACAGGAAGUUAAUUACUCUCCUGGUGGUCUCCAUACAUAGGUGGUGAGCUGCACAUUUGGCUUGGUGGGUCACAAGUUUACUGGAUUAAUAUAUCUUGUAGAGUUGGACAGGGGUUUCCAAAAAUUUGAGGCCACUGGGCACAUCUGGAUUUUUGAAAAGGUGCCUUGGGCAACAGUCACAAAAUGGCUUCCGUGGAGGUGUGGUGUAACACAAAAUGGAUUCUCUGGGGUGCAUAUGAGAAGCUGAGCAAGUGUUCACAUGAAAUGAGCAGGAAGGAAGAAACAGUCUCUCAUGCAUUCUGGAUAUUUAGCCUAUUUAUUUUCAUGGGUGCUAUACGAGGUACUGGUUGGGGGCACACUGGUGCCUGCAAGCACUGCAUUGGUGGCUCCUGUGGUCAUAUAGCUCCAUAUUUCAGCUGGGAUUGAAAGAGCUACUUAGGAACACAGGAAACUACUUUAUACCAUGUCAAACUAUUGGUCCAUCUCGCUCAGUAUUGUUGACACUAAUAGGUGGCAGUUCUCAAAGGUUCCUGGACAUGCAAAGUGUGUGCCCUAUCACUCGGCUGUGGCCCUUCAUCUUUAUAGACAUCAGGGUUAGCCAUACCAUGUUGAGGUGAUUUGUUUUGGAUGGCACAACAAAGGUGAAGGAAAAGAUGAAGGCUGGCAUGUAUGUCUGAAUUGCAUCAAAAUACGUUUUAAUGAGGAGAGGUCUCUGUUACAGGCACCAAGAUGUCUUGAACCCCACCAUUAAUUAUCCUCUGCUACAGCACUCUUUGGCAAAGGCCCUAAUCUGGAUAUCACCACCAGCAAAAAAUAGAGCCUUUCCUGCUGUUUUUAGGAAAGGCAGAAAAACACAUUUGUCAAGAAAGGUUUUUGGCCUGCAGACCGGGAUUUCAUAUUGUAGUGAUGGUUGUAAUGCAGUUUAAUGAUGUGAUUCAAUUUUUUAAAAUUUUUUAAAAACGUAUGUAUUUAACUAUGAUUUGAUCUGUUGGGGGAACUUUUUCAAGCUGAUGGAGAUGUGGAAUAUAUAUUUGGUCCAGUACUUGAGGGCAUAAGCCUGCAGUUUGCAGAACUUGUUGAGAGUCUAACAGCCUAAAAAUAUUCUAGCCAUCAAGGAGACAGUCAAGGUGGAUUGGAAAGGCUUGGCUGCAUGAUCUGUAGGUUACGAUUUACAGAUGAAUUAAGAGACAUACUUUCUAUCCCUCUCUCCCAGUCUAUUAAUAAUGAAAGACGUUCACAACAAUAAAGGAGAAACUUGCCUGCUGGCUAAUAUACAGUUUGUAAAUGUAAUACUGUCUUUGCCUGCCUGCCUGAGGAACUUUUCACUUCAUUCUUUUCUCUCUCUCUUUUGUAAUUGAUGAUCACUUGCAUUGUCUUUUAUAUUUUUUUUAAGAAAUCAAUUUCCUGCAUGUUUCAUUUUAUAUCAACAGUGAAUCGAUGGAACUUUAAUGCAAGUGAAGCUUCAGUCUGGAUUAAUGCCCUUUUCUCUGUUUCAGUAUGAAGCCCACACUUCCAAGCCUGGGAGCAGAAGAACCUCCACAUACUUGUCUUCAGAUGGUAGCAGUGCGGUUGGACUUCCUGUUAAGGUUCUAGGCCAGGGAUGGGGAACCUCAGGCCUGGAGACCAAAUAUCCCUGGAGACCACUCUCUGAUCCUCCUAACUCUCCACAGGCCACACCAUUCACCUGUCCUGCUUUGCAACUUCCUUGAGUUCUUUUGACUGGCUGGAAUGUGUCCCUGAACUCAGAUGAUAUUAUGGACUAGCUGGAUGCAGAGGAGUGGUGGGAGGCACCAGCUGGGGAAGCCCCAAGGGAACUUCCAGGGGAGGAAGGCUCAGAGCCAGGGGAUUGGUGGUGGGAUGACAAUGAGUGAUCAGAAGCAGAAGAGGGAGCAGAUUGGGAGGAGGAGGUGUCAGGUGCUGAAGAGGCAACAAGGUUGAGUGAGCAGGAAGAGACUGUGGUAGAGAGCAGUCCAGAUGCAGAAGCAGAAGCGGAGGCUGAAGAGGAGGGGGGCAAGAGGCAGAGAGGAGGCAGGCUGCUGAAGAAGCCACAGAGUCUCCUAGUUCUGCUUUUAGCAGCUCCCCUCUACCCUGGUCUCACAAAACACAGAGAGGAAUGAAGAGGGCGAAGCAAGGAGAGACAAGAUGACGAAGCCUUAGGCUGAUGGGGAAGGAAUCAACAGAGGGGCCUUAGAGAGAGGUGGGAAGGCAGGGGACUUCAGUCCUUGAAACUGCCUCAUUGGGGCAAGACCUGCUGGGAGAGUCGCUGUGAGUACUAGGCCUGUGUUGUUUUGGGCUUCUUUGAAUAAAGAGUUAACUUCACUGACACCAAAUGGUUUAUUGCUGACCCAGUUCCUGACUGCUGAUGCUUCUUGCCUGAAUGGAGGAGGGGGAAAAAUGUCUGAGUGUCAAGAAACUAG